UACGUAGGGUCCGAGCGUUGUCCGGAAUUAUUGGGCGUAAAGGGCUCGUAGGCGGUUUGUCGCGUCGGGGAGUGAAAAACCCCGGGGGCUCAACCCCCGGGCCUGCAUUCGAUACGGGCAGACUAGAGUUCGGUAGGGGGAGUCUGGAAUUCCUGGUGUAGCGGUGAAAUGCGCAGAUAUCAGGAGGAACACCGGUGGCGAAGGCGGGACUCUGGGCCGAUACUGACGCUGAGGAGCGAAAGCGUGGGGGAGCAAACAGG
rnacentral:rRNA from 1 species